AUUGAACGCUUGCGGCAUGCUUUACACAUGCAAGUCGAACGGCAGCGGGGGCUUCGGCCCGCCGGCGAGUGGCGAACGGGUGAGUAAUGCAUCGGAACGUGCCCAUGUCGUGGGGGAUAACUACGCGAAAGCGUGGCUAAUACCGCAUACGCCCUGAGGGGGAAAGCGGGGGAUCUUUCGGGACCUCGCGCGAUUGGAGCGGCCGAUGUCGGAUUAGCUAGUUGGUGGGGUAAAGGCUCACCAAGCCAACGAUCUGUAGCUGGUCUGAGAGGACGACCAGCCACACUGGGACUGAGACACGGCCCAGACUCCGACGGGAGGCAGCAGUGGGGAAUUUUGGACAAUGGGCGCAAGCCUGAUCCAGCCAUUCCGCGUGCAGGAUGAAGGCCUUCGGGUUGUAAACUGCUUUUGUACGGAACGAAACGGCCCUCUCUAAUACAGGGGGCUAAUGACGGUACCGUAAGAAUAAGCACCGGCUAACUACGUGCCAGCCGCCGCGGUAACAC
rnacentral:rRNA from 1 species